UUUUAAAGUGGAGCAAAUCCUUUAUUUUGAAAAAAAAAUCGAUGAAAAAGCCUAAUUUACGCAGGUAUUUUUCCAGUAUUUCUUCAUAGUUCCACUCAGAAUAAAACGGAGGAGAAUUAAUUUAACUUCUUGUAUAAAAAUGUAUAUUCCACGGGACGCUUUUGAGCUCAAGCCUCAAGGAAUUCGAUGAUGAUGUCAUGAAUAUUCAAGGUGUAAAAAAGGUCUUUCAUGGAUUUACGCAGAGAGGGUCGCUGUAUGAUCAUUCCUCCAAAAAUACAAGAACCAAUUCAGAAUCAUAAGAAGAAGCUACUGAUUAAAGAUCAUCGCGAGAAACACAUCCAAAACGCGACCCUCGACACGACGGGAAAUAAUCUCCAGCGAUAAUGCAGCGGAUAUUAUGUUCUAUCAAACUUCAUUCUAAUUCUUGAUCGCAAAGAAUCAGCAUUACUUCUUCUGCAUUGGCGCCAUAUGUGCCAGACUCGAUGAAUAUACGACAUAAUGAUUGAUUAGAACUCGUGCCGUUUGAAGUGCACGUCUAUUGUGAUGAAAAUGAAGACGCAAUGACUUUUUAUCCCCGUUGUAAGCUUAUCAAGUGGAAUACAAUCGAUUCUGAACACUUUGUUCCCACGAGUAAGGGAUUCGUUAUUUUCACCACAGGGAAGUUCCGUCGUCUAAAAUUCACUGGUGACCCGGCUGUGAGGCCGCUACGUUGGAAUGAUAAACGGUUUUCGGAUAAUUUUCAGUUCUGACCAUUGCGCAUUACUUCAGUACAAGAUGUUAAAUAAAUUAAAUUCCAUCUUUGGCUUCUUUAUUGAAGAUUAUAACAACGUUAAAUAUGAACUAAUUAAACCGAUCACAUGCGCCAGAAGCCUGGACCCUGUUUGAUGGAUGUAUCAGAACUUCUUAACAUCAGCAAAUUCCGUCAGAGAUUCAGGAUAUCAAGUGUGAACGUAAAUAGCCACUGGCUGGUUACCUGAAAGGUGUCAUUGGCAGUGAUAGUUAGAUCUCUAUCUCUUCUCUUUUUCUUCGCAGAAAAGCUUUUCUACACCGUUCUGGAGAAGAAACCAGAAUUCCAGAAUUCUACGAAAAAUGUAGUGGAAUAGCGAAGGUCCUUGAUCUUUUUGUAUUUCCUUGGUGCAAGUACGAACGUUUAUAGAAAUGCAUUUUGCAAAGUAAAAUAUAGGGCGUUGGAGGUGUGCUGACAGUUCUCCCUUCUUCCGCGACAUUUAUAUGCCACUUACCGUAAUAUGACCAUAUACCAUACCUACACAUGUUCGUGAAGCGUGCCUAUUUGUCUGUGUUUUGGGGAUGACCACGGUCAAGGAAGGGUCUACCAUUUUUGGUUAAUUUUAUGUUCUAUAUGAAUUCAAAUCAUUCAACCAACAAAUACUAUCAUCUGAACUCCGACUUCUAACUGGCAGAAAUGGACCUUCGGUAAAUGUUAUAUGACUGUUAUGUGAGCCUAUGAAUAUAUACGUUGUUCAAGCAUUUGUUAUUAAACAUUUUUAUGGUCUUUGCACUGUUGCACACGAAUAUGCCCAUGAUAUUUUACGAUCCCAAUGGCCGAACCAUCAGAGCACUAGAUUUGUGGUUAUUGGUGGAACUGUUAGAGUACUGGUUGAUGGUAUUGACAGAUCAGUUAGAGAGCUAAUUUCACUAUUAUUGGGAGAUCAGCCAGAAAACUGUUCAC